UGCCCUGUCCCUGCUGUGGCUGCACAUUGUUGCACUUAGGGUCAAGGACUUCCCUACUGCUCUCCUGCCGUCCCAUUUAUUACGUAGGCCUAGAGGUGGUCCUCCUGCCCCAUAUGGACUACUGCUGCUUUGCCUACUUGCCCUUUUAAUUUAUUCCCUUUUUUUUCCUUUCAUUUAUGGUUUUCUUUUGCCUUAUUUGUUUACUAAUUUGUCCUUUGUUAUGCCCAGGUGUUGUUUAUUUGCCCAUUUAGUUAACAGCUGGGAUACUUAUUUAUGUUGUGAGUUGUUUUCUGUAAGUUUUCCUUUAUUCCAGGUGUGGAGUGCCAUAUUGUUGAGGGGCUCGGCACUUGUGGUGAGGUCCCUACACUUUUUUGCGUGUGAGUAGUUGCACUGGGACACCAUAGACUGCACUAUUGUUUUGUGUGAGGUUUGCUGUGUUUGCUGUGUUCACUGGAGAAUAGCGGUAGCACUCCUAGGCACCCCUCCGUGUAGUCUGCCCCUCACAAGUGGCCUCCUCUCCUUUUUCUAUUUAGUUUCAGUUAAGUUGGGCGGUGUUUUACCUUUUGUAAUUGUCUUUUUUAGAAUUUAUAUUCAGGCCUUUUUAGUAUUCAUUGUA